UAGCGGCGAACGGGUGCGUAACACGUGGACAAUCUGCCUUAAAGUGGGGGAUAGCUCGGCGAAAGCCGAAUUAAUACCGCAUGUGAUGAGGGAAGACAUCUUUCCGAAAUCAAAGCCGGGGCAACCUGGCGCUUUUCGAGGGGUCCGCGGCCUAUCAGCUAGUUGGUGAGGUAACGGCUCACCAAGGCUAUGACGGGUAGCUGGUCUGAGAGGACGACCAGUCACACUGGAACUGAGACACGGUCCAGACACCUACGGGUGGCAGCAGUCGAGAAUUUUUGACAAUGGGGGAAACCCUGAUCGAGCGACGCCGCGUGGAGGAUGAAGGUCUUCGGGUUGUAAACUCCUGUCAUUUGAGAACGAAUUGGACGCAGUAACUACGCGUCCAUUGAUAGUAUCAGAAGAGGAAGGGACGGCUAACUCUGUGCCAGCAGCCGCGGUAGUACAGAGGUCUCAAGCGUUGUUCGGAUUCAUUGGGCGUAAAGGGUGUGUAGGUGGCGCCGUAAGUCGGGUGUGAAAUCUCGGGGCUUAACUCCGAAACUGCAUUCGAUACUGCGGUGCUUGAGGACUGGAGAGGAGACUGGAAUUCAUGGUGUAGCAGUGAAAUGCGUAGAGAUCAUGAGGAAGACCAGUGGCGAAGGCGGGUCUCUGGACAGUUCC
rnacentral:rRNA from 1 species